AUAAAGGGGAUUUUUCUAAUUGGAACAAUGUAUACUCAGCACCUGUGUGGGGAGAAAAACGGAUUUUCAUUCUGUCUUCUUGUUUUCUUUGGUCCUAACAUCAGACAAAUAUUUGGCUGGUUGAGGAUCUUUAACAUGUCAUGAUAUCUUUUCUUUGCAUUUUUCUUUUCUCUCUCUCUCUUUUUUUUAAAUAUUAGACACCAGGAAGCCUUGUCACCUACCACUCAGCUAAGCAGGCCCAUUUGCCUAUUGUUUGGAGAUCAAGGACAGGCCUUUGCCCAGGAAAGAAUGGAACAGAGCAAUACAUAUGAUAAGGGCUCCUCUGUCAUCAGUCAGCCCAGAAAUUCCUUUAUUGGUGGCAUAUCAGCUACAGGAUGGAAGACAGUCUAUGAGCUCACCCACACUGGUGAACAAAACAAUACACUUUCUUUCUCUCAAGCUUCACCUAAGAAUGAAAAGGGUCAGUCCUGGAGUUGUUUCUGCACCUCAGCUACUGAAGAAAAGAGGCAACAGGCUUUUGUAUCCUGCCAACCAUUUUCAGAUAGCGUGUCAUUCAAAGUCUAGCUCUAUGCUGCGGCUGGGAGUCAGAAGCACUGUUAUCUGGAAUGGGCUUGGUGAUUUUCAAUUUGUUCUGCUCUGUGGCAUCUGUUUCACUUUCAAAAAAGCCACUGGGAAAGCAAGGGAAAAGAGAGCAAGAAACCCAUGGAAAGGUCGUGAAUUAUUCUUUCUAAAUCCUAAUUUCAGAUACAUGGCGUUCCAUAGGUCUGGGAAAAGCGGCACUAUAGGAAGCAUGGAUAAUAACAUCUUUCAGAGGGUGGAAGAAAAUCCAUGUGGCAGUCCAAGAUGGAGUCAGUGUUCAUGAGAUAGAAUCUAAUUGGUUCUCUUGAUUUCUACACCAAAACAACUUCAUUUUGUAACUGGCCUUCACUCUGUCUCAUCACAGAGGAGGAAACUGAGGUCUAGAAACAUUAAAUGAUAUGUAGAAGCUGAAACAAGCAUAAUAGUAAGUAACAGAGCCAAGAUGCCAGCCCAGAUGUUCUGGUUGAAGAUCCCACGUGCUUUCCAUUGUAAUAUGCGGUUUUCUCCUUCCAUCUUAAAGAACUAAGUCAAAACACCAUUCAAGAAAUCUUCCCUAAUUAAUUCAACCCCCAUUUGACCAAGCCCUUUAUUCAUCAUCUCCUUAAGACUCACAUAAUAAGGCAGAGAUGGUAGAGUAGCAGGAAGCAAUGUACCGAGAAUCUCUUCCCUCCAUUCUCAACUCCUCUAAAUAGAUCUAGAAAAUGCAUCAGAACCAAUCCUGAUGGGGAAAUCCAAGAAACUGUCACAGUAUGUCUUUAUACAGCCCAGCUAUGCAUAGGAAUGUAGACAGAGAGGUCUACUGGGGACUAACCCUGGUACAGAGCACUCACCACAUGGACAUGGAGUACACAGUGAGCAGAGUAUACUAGUACUUAUGGAGAGGCUGUAACUAGGCAAGGAAGGGCCCAGACCCAUAUGUGGACACUACAACAAGGACAGACUCUAAUUGGCAUCUUUGUUGCCCACUGCCCAGUUCUGAGUCACGGAUCCAUGGAGGACAGAGAUACGCAGCAAGGUUCUCCCCCCAUCCCUAUCCCUAGCAAUCUUGGACUAUAGGCAGUAAUCAAAGAGAAGAUCAAGUUCAGAAGUAAAGCAGCAGUGCUAUGGCUCAGACUCCAGAAGAAGACGGUAGGGUCGGGGUAUCAGCUCCAGCCUCCAAAUCAUUCUGAACUUACAGAGGAGCAAUCAGGGCUGCAUUCCCAGAUCAAAUGGGAAUCUAUAAUUCUGUCAUUCUCAACUAGCAGAGUUUUCCAGCUAAUUGAUAGCAUAUGAGUCCAGUAGUAGUCUACCAUUGCUCAGUACAAACCCAAGUCAGGAAUUUAGAGAGCUCAGAUCAGGGGGAAAAGUAAUCAGACUUUGCUCUAGAUCAGAUCACUUUAAGAGCACUAAAAGCUUGAAGGUCCUGAACUUGAGCUAUCUUUGAAAUUAUGGAAUAACCUAACACUCAGGACCCUCAAGAAAGCAGCAAUAGCAUCAGCCUGGAUCUUCCCUGCAGAAGUGUACAGAGCCUAGCCCCAAAAUAAAGUCCAAAGUCAGGAAGUAAACUAGAAGACU
rnacentral:lncRNA from 1 species